rnacentral:rRNA from 1 species
UGCCAGCCGCCGCGGUAAUACGGAGGGAGCUAGCGUUGUUCGGAAUCACUGGGUUUAAAGGGUGCGUAGGCGGCGUUGUAAGUCAGAGGUGAAAGCCCACCGCUUAACGGUGGAACUGCCUUUGAUACUGCAAUGCUUGAAUCAGGCUGAGGUCAGCGGAAUGUGUCAUGUAGCGGUGAAAUGCAUAGAUAUGACAUAGAACACCAAUUGCGAAGGCAGCUGACUAGACCUGUAUUGACGCUGAGGCACGAAAGCGUGGGGAGUGAACAGGAUUAGAUA